rnacentral:lncRNA from 1 species
GUGCUUUGGGACAGAUAGAGAGUUGAGAGACAGAAGGGGUGGGAACAUCAUGUUGAAGUGAAGUUCAGACCACAUGAAGAAGCCACACAUAGGUGUUCCAUCCAACAGCCAACAUCAGCUGGUGUACAUGUUGUUUCUCCUAGAUCGUGUUUCCUGAGAAGCAAAUUUUGAGAUGGUUUUGAGUGAUGGAUGUCUACUUAAGAGUGCUCCUGGGAAUAACAUCUAUAAAAUCCUGGUGGAGGCAGAGAGGAGGAGACUUUGGACUGGGAGGGAGUUAAUAUACAAGUUUCCACUGAUCCUGUGAGACUGGAAUGACCCCUCAAAUUUGUCUCAAUUUGAGGCAACUUGGUCAAGCAUUAGUAUCCUACAAUUGAUAGGUUAUUGGGUGCCCAGAGAGAGAGAGAGAGAGAGAGUGAGAGCAAGAAUGAGAGUGAGACUGAAUAUGAGAUAACGAGAGAUGUAGAUAUACCUCAGGAUAUAAAAUUUAUUCAUUUUUUGUGUGAAGUGUAAGAUUUGCAUCUAGUAUCUUUAUUUUGCAUAAGGACAUCCCAUUGUUCCAUCACCAUUUGUUGAAAAGGUAUCUGUCCUCUGAAUUACCACUAUACUUUGUCAAAAAUCAGUUGACUAUAUUUGUGUGGGCCCAUUUUUGGAUGCUAUAUUUUAUCUUUGAAGAUAAUCUUUCCAAAUUUCAGG